GACGAACGCUGGCGGCGUGCCUAAUACAUGCAAGUCGAACGAGAGCGACCGGUACUUGCACUGGUCAAUCUAGUGGCGAACGGGUGAGUAACACGUGGGUAACCUGCCCAUCAGAGGGGGAUAACAUCCGGAAACGGAUGCUAAAACCGCAUAGGUCUUCGAACCGCAUGGUUUGAAGAGGAAAAGAGGCGCAAGCUUCUGCUGAUGGAUGGACCCGCGGUGCAUUAGCUAGUUGGUGAGGUAACGGCUCACCAAGGCCGUGAUGCAUAGCCGACCUGAGAGGGUGAUCGGCCACAUUGGGACUGAGACACGGCCCAAACUCCUACGGGAGGCAGCAGUAGGGAAUCUUCCGCAAUGGACGCAAGUCUGACGGAGCAACGCCGCGUGAGUGAAGAAGGUUUUCGGAUCGUAAAACUCUGUUGUUAGAGAAGAACAAGUGCUAGAGUAACUGUUAGCGCCUUGACGGUAUCUAACCAGAAAGCCACGGCUAACUACGUG
rnacentral:rRNA from 1 species